AUGACAUUUAUCAGGGGACGUGCAUAAAUUUUGUUCUCUUUCCCCGUUGGAGUCCGCAAGUCUUGGCUUUCGUCUCUAGCUUGAGAGAGAGUGUCUGAAAAUGGGUGACGUGGCAGGGACACCGGUUCGCCAUGGAUAUCGAAUGCCUGCAGAGUGGGAGCCCCAUUCUCAGACUUGGAUGGGUUGGCCUGAACGUGCAGAUAACUGGAGAAACAAUGCAGUACAUGCACAACGUAUUUUUGCCGAGGUUGCAAUAGCAAUUUCAAAGUUUGAGUCUGUGACUGUCUGUGCUAGUGCAGCUCAGUGGGAAAAUGCACGAAGACUUCUACCAGAACAUAUUAGAGUUAUUGAGAUAAGCAUGAAUGAUUCUUGGUUUCGUGAUACUGGGCCAACUUUUGUGGUGAAUGCAUCAAAUUCUGGUCCCCCAGAGCAAAAGGUUGCAGGCAUUGAUUGGAAUUUUAACAGUUGGGGAGGGGUUGAUGAUGGUUGUUACCAAGAUUGGAGUCUUGACCUUCUUGUGGCAAGGAAGAUUCUUGGAAUUGAGAAGCUUCCACGAUUUCCUCAUUCCAUGAUUCUUGAAGGUGGAAGCAUCCAUGUAGAUGGAGAAGGGACAUGCCUUACUACUGAGGAGUGCCUCUUGAAUAAAAACCGGAAUCCAGAUUUAACCAAAGAACAAAUAGAAAAUCAACUUAAGGAAUAUCUUGGAGUCCAGAAGGUUAUUUGGCUGCCUCGUGGAUUAUAUGGUGAUGAUGACACUAACGGUCAUAUUGACAAUAUGUGCUGCUUUGUAAGGCCUGGUACAGUUUUACUGUCAUGGACUGAUGAUGAAAAGGAUUUUCAGUUUGAACGAUCCAUGGAAGCCUUAACUGUUCUCUCCAAUGCUACUGAUGCUAAAGGAAGGAAAUUCCAGAUAAUUAAACUCCAUGUUCCAGGGCCACUAUAUAUGACGGAGGAAGAAUCUGCUGGAGUUAUUCAAGAUGGUGAGGCUAAACCGAGACCACCAAACACAAGACUUGCUGCAUCUUAUGUAAACUUCUAUAUUGCCAACGGAGGGAUCAUCACACCUCAAUAUGGGGACCAGAAGUGGGAUGACGAAGCUGUCCGUGUCCUCUCUCAGGCUUUCCCAAAUCAUGAGGUAAGCAAAUACUUCUGUUCAAUGUAUCUAAUUUUACAACCUUCUUGAAAUGUGAUGAUCUAGAGCAUGCAGAUGGCAUGUAAACUAUACCAUGGUUCACAUUAGCUAUGAGUUUUCGCUAAGCCAAGUAGUGUUAAAAAUACUUAACAGUUGACGUAGAAUUCAUCUGGAGUUUAUGGUGAAACAAAAUUUCCACGCACAAGAUAACAACUAUAAAACAUGCUUAGCAGGAAAUUUGAGGGAAAAUGGCUUCCAUCAUGUCAAGAAUUUGGAGUUUCUGAUUUCACUACUUUGUUAGGGCUUCAUAUCUUUCAGUUGACUUGAAAUUGUACAAACACCAAGUGUGAUGGUUGGGGUAGUUGAGAUGGUUUAUUUGUAUGAUGUAGAAUAGGAAUAAUAAAGGACUAAGAGAAACAAAUUCUCAA
rnacentral:misc_RNA from 1 species